GGCAAAGAGGGGAUGAGAGCAGCCUAGGCAACAAGGCCGCAGACUCAUGCUGUUCUUACCCAAAGUUCAGCAGAUUUCAUCAGUAUGAUUUUGGUCAAUUUCCAGAGCACUGAAAUGGUUGUUUUUGAGAUUCUGAUGAACCUCACAGUUGUUUUUUGUUUUGUUUUGUUUUGUUUUGAGGAAGAUCAGCCCUGAGCUAACAUCUGCCACCAAUCCUCCUCUUUUUGCCGAGGAAGACUGGCCCUGAGCUAACAUCCGUGCCCAUCUUCCUCUACUUUAUAUGUGGGACGCGUGCCACAGCAUGGCCUAAUAAGCAGUGUGUAGGUCCACACCUGGGAUAUGAACCAGUGGACCCUGGGCCACCAAAGCUGAGCGCACAAACUUAACCACUGCGCUACAGGGCAGGCCCCUCACAGUUGUUUUUCAAAGGUUUUCUCACUUUCGAUGGCAAAUGAAUCCAGGAGUGACAAGCUUAAACCCGUCCUUAGUCACUUUGGACUUAGGAACGACGGACUUCACAAACAGCCACAGUUGUAGGUCCUUCUAGUUGUGGCAUGGGGGACAGCGCCUCAAUGUGGCCUGACGAGCGGUGCCAUGUCCACGUCCAGGAUUUGAACUUCAGCCUCCGAAGCAGAGCGCGAGAACUUAAU
rnacentral:lncRNA from 1 species